rnacentral:tRNA from 1 species
CCGUCUCUCGGCAACUCCGUGAGCCAGGCCUCCGUCACCGAGGCGCAGGAUGAGGCGAAGCGGCUGGCGGCGGGGGUCGCCGACGCGGAGGUGGCC